rnacentral:rRNA from 1 species
GAUUGAACGCUGGCGGCAUGCCUUCCACAUGCAAGUCGAACGGCAGCCCGGGUGCUUGCACCUGGUGGCGAGUGGCGAACGGGUGAGUAAUACAUCGGAACAUGUCCUGUAGUGGGGGAUAGCCCGGCGAAAGCCGGAUUAAUACCGCAUACGAUCUACGGAUGAAAGCGGGGGACCUUCGGGCCUCGCGCUAUAGGGUUGGCCGAUGGCUGAUUAGCUAGUUGGUGGGGUAAAGGCCUACCAAGGCGACGAUCAGUAGCUGGUCUGAGAGGACGACCAGCCACACUGGGACUGAGACACGGCCCAGACUCCUACGGGAGGCAGCAGUGGGGAAUUUUGGACAAUGGGCGAAAGCCUGAUCCAGCAAUGCCGCGUGUGUGAAGAAGGCCUUCGGGUUGUAAAGCACUUUUGUCCGGAAAGAAAUCCUUGGCCCUAAUACGGUCGGGGGAUGACGGUACCGGAAGAAUAAGCACCGGCUAACUACGUG